AAUUUUGGGAUUUUCCUUGUCCCAUCCAGACUUUCCUGAUCCAAAAAUUCCGGGAUUUUUCGUGAUCCCUGUGGAUUUUCACGAUCCGAAAAUUCCGGGAUUUUCUGCAUCCUCUCCGAAUUCUCCUCAUCCAAAAAUUCCGGGAUUUUCCGUGUCCCAUCCAGCCUUUCUUUCCUCAUCCCAUCCGAAUUCUCCCGAUCCAAAAACCCCGGGAUUUUCCUCGUCCCAUCCGAAUUCUCCCGAUCCAAAAACCCGGGGAUUUUUCCCUCCCUCUCCACCCCCUCAUUCCCGCUCUCCCCCGUUUCUCUCCACCCGGGAUUUUGGGAUAUUCCCGUCGGGAUCUGCACCCCGAAGCUGUCGCGGCGGCCGCUGCGGAGGAGGACGAAGGGCUGGCCCCCGAUGCCCUGCACGCGCACGGCCACCCCGUACGAGCCCGUCCUGCCCCGCGGCGGCCGCGGCGGCUCCCCCAGCUCGUCGAUAAAUCGGAUCUGGACUCCGUGAUCCAUCCGUUUCUCCGCCAUGGGCUGCGGGAAGGAGGAAAAUCCGGGAUGAUCCCAAGGAAAAAUCGGGAUUUUGACGCGUUUUGAUUUUUUUUUUGCGGUUUUUGCGCUUUUUUUGAGCUUUUUUUGAGCUUUUUUGGCGUUUUCAGUGAUUUUUGAGGCGUUUUUUUAUUGGUUUUCACGCGUUUGUUCUCCACGUGGUUUUUUUCCCGUGUUUUACCCUCAGUUUUUCCCGUUUUGCCUGGUUUUUCUCCCAGUUUUUCUCCCCAAAUCCCAGGAACCCCAAAUCCCGGGAAUCCCCACAAAUCCCGGGAAUCCCAAAUCCCAGGGACCCCAAAUCCCGGGGACCCCAAAUCCCAGGAACCCCAAAUCCCAGGAAUCCCAAAUCCCAGGAAUCCCAGAAUUCCUGAAUCCUCCCCAAAUCCCAGGAAUCCCAAAUCCCGGGAACCCCAAAUCCCUGGGAAUCCCAAAUCCCAAGAAUCCCAAACCCUGGGAACCCCAAAUCCCAGGAACCCCAAAUCCCAGGAAUCCCAGAAUUCCUGAACCCUCCCCAAAUCCAAGGAAUCCCAAAUCCCAGGAACUCCAAAUCCCA
ensembl:lncRNA